ACAGACCAUGUAAUAUUUGGUAGAUAUCCUAACCCAGAUAUAGAUCAUGACGUAAUAGUUGGUAGAUAUCCCAAGAUAUAGAUCAUGUAAUAGUUGGUAGAUAUCCUAACCCAGAUAUAGAUCAUGUAAAAGUUGGUAGAUAUCCUAACCCAGAUAUAGAUGAUGUGAUAGUUGGUAGAUAUCCUAACCCAGAUAUAGAUAAUGUAAUAGUUGGUAGAUAUCCCUAGAUAUAGAUCAUGUAAUAGUUGGUAGAUAUCCCCAGAUAUUGAUCAUGCAAUAGUUGGUAGAUAUCCUAACCCAGAUAUAGAUCAUGUAAUAUAUAUAUAGUUGGUAGAUAUCCUAACCCAGAUAUAGAUCAUGUAAUAGUUGGUAGAUAUCCUAACCAAGAUAUAGAUCAUGUAAAAGUUGGUAGAUAUCCUAACCCAGAUAUAGAUCAUGUAAUAGUAGGUAGAUAUCCUAACCCAGAUAUAGAUCAUGUCAUAGUUGGUAGAUAUCCUAACCCAGAUAUAGAUCAUGUAAGAGUUGGUAGAUAUCCUUACCCAGAUAUAGAUCAUGUAAUAGUUGGUAGAUAUCCCCAGAUAUAGAUCAUGUAAUAGUUGGUAGAUAUCCCCAGAUAUAGAUCAUGUAAUAGUUGGUAGAUAUCCCCAGAUAUAGAUCAUGUAAUAGUUGGUAGAUAUCCCCAGAUAUAGAUCAUGUAAUAGCUGGUAGAUAUCCAAAUUGAUAGGCCAUGUGAGGAAGGAUAGAUAUCGAUAUUUAGGAUAAUGUAGUGAUGCAUGAAUAUCCCUAUUUAUAAGUCACCUGAGUAUAGAUGUGUAUCCAAAUUUAUAGGCCACGUGUUGUUGGAUGCAUGCCGGGUUUAUAGAUCACGUGAUGAUGAAUACUUGUCCAAAUUCUGCGAUAACAUGAUGGAUAUACAACCACAUUAAUACAUCACGUUGUGGAAGAAGCGCAAGACGCAAUGGCGGCAUUGAUGAUGUGUUGUUUAUAACACAGAGUGUCAAUGGCGGCAUUGAUGAUGUGUUGUUUAUACCACAGAGUGUCAAUUAGACGAUGUCUGGACAAAAAUUGUUAUUGUGGUGAUAAAGCUGAUGAGUAUGAAGAAGAAAAGGAAGAUCCGGUCCACAAUUUGGCCUACAAGUUGCCACUCUGCCACAUUUUCCUCCCACUUGUUGUGAUCACGCAUGAACUUCUCGAUCUUGGACAGUGAGUCUAACUGCUUCCUCAGGAUGUGUAUCAGCUCACUAGCGUUCAGUGUGGAAUCGGAAUCAGUCGAGCGUACGUUUUUAUUGUUUUCAUAAAGAUUCGUUUCAUCCAA